UUACUUGACAAACUUGACCUCAAAUCAGGUAAGACUACCCGCUGAACUUAAGCAUAUCAAUAGCGGAGGA
rnacentral:rRNA from 1 species